GAAUCGUAAAGAUCUACGGUCCGUCGAACGACGCGUACCGGAUCUUUGCUUCCUAUCUUCCGGUCAACCCUCGGUCUUUCGUUCCAUUCUUCUUCUAUUCUCUUUUCCAAAAGGGGACUGGAGUUGGGUGGGUCAAACGGGGAUCGAUCAAAGGGGUUCCGGAUCGUUUACUUUGAAAAAAUUAGAGUGUUCAAAGCAGGCGUAACCUAGCAUCGAAUACAUUAGCAUGGGAUAAUAGAAUACGACUUUGGUCUUAUUUUGUUGGUUUCUAAGGCUAAAGUA
rnacentral:rRNA from 1 species